rnacentral:ncRNA from 1 species
UAAGUUCUUAGAACACAGAGAUUUGAUCCUAGUCUUAUUAUCAGCCAUCUUUUGACUUACACAUGCAAGUAUCCGCACAACCGUGAGAACGCCCUUUUACCUCCCCCAGGCUAAGGAGCUGGCAUCAGGCACAGAACCCUGGCCCAUGACGCCUAGUUUUAUCACACCCCCAAGGGUGAUUCAGCAGUGACAAAUAUUGCCCCAUAAGCGCCAAGCUUGAUUCAGUUAAAAAGAAAAGGGCCGGCCAAUACGGUGCCAGCCGCCGCGGCUACACCGGUAGGCUCAAGUUGAUAAUUUUCGGCGUUAAGCGUGAUUAAAGGCCCCCCCACAUAGAGUAAAACAUACACCUAGUAGUAAUAAGCUUGCUGUCUGGAACAUUAAAACGAAAGUCACUCUAACCACCCCUUGAACCCACGACAGCUAGAUGAACAAACUGGGAUUAGAUACCCCACUAUGCCUAGUCGUAAAAUUUUAACCAAAAAUAGCCACGCCAGGGAAUUACGAGUUUAACUUAAAACCCAAAGGAUUUGACGGUGUCCCACCCACCUAGAGGAGCCUGUCCCUUAAUCGAUAACCCCCGCUUUACCCUACCACUUCUCACUUAGUCUGUAUACCUCCGUCGCAAGCCCACCAUAUGAAUGUAAGUGGGCCAAAGGGGGGUUUAUUUUCCCAACACGUCAGGUCAAGGUGCAGCUUAUGAAGUGGAGUGAGAUGGGCUACAAUUUCUAUCAUAGAACAUACGAAAAGACAAAUGAAAAUCAUCUAUGAAGGUGGAUUUAGUAGUAAAAAGAAAAUAAAGUGUUCUUUUUAAUUUAGGCCCUGGGACGUGUACACACCGCCCGUCACCCUCUUCAACAACACCCUUUUAUGUUUAUAACCCAUUUUUUCCCCAUAGAAGAGGCAAGUCGUAACAUGGUAAGUGUACUGGAAAGUGCACUUAGUUCAACAAAAUGUAGCUUAACUAAAGCACCUCGCUUACACCGAGCAAAUGUUUAUUGAUUUAAACCAUUUUGAGCCUAAAAUCUAGCCCAACCUGCCAAAUGUAAAACCUUCCUUUUUUCCCCAAAAUAAAACAUUUUACUUCUUUAGUAAAGGCGAUUAAAAAACUUCUUGGAGCUUAAGACCUAGUACCGCAAGGGAACGAUGAAAUAGAAAUGAAAUAAACCUAAAGCCUUAAAAAGCAGAGCACCCCUCGUACCUUUUGCAUCAUGGUUUAACUAGAAAAAUAGAGCAAAACAAAACUUUUAGUUCAACACCCCGAAACUAGGCGAGCUACUUUGGAAUAGCUUUAUAGAGCCAACCCGUCUCUGUCGCAAAAGAGUGGGAAAAUUUCUAAGUAGAGGCGACAAACCUAUCGAGCCUAGAGAUAGCUGGUUAUUCAGGAAAAGAAUUUUAGUUCUACUUUAAGACUUACACAUUACAUAAAACAAUAACCUAAGCUUAAAAGUUAUUCAAAUAAGGCACAGCUUAUUUGAAACAGGAUACAACCUAAAACCCCGGGUAAAAUUUUCUAGUACUAAUAUAAAGUAGGCCUAAAAGCAGCCACCUUUAAAAAAGCGUUAAAGCUUUCUUACACCGUACAAUUAAUCCCAUAAACACUUUACAACCCUCCACCAAUACUGAAUGAUAUUAUAGCUAUAUAAUGUACCUUCUGUUAAAACUAGUAAUAAGAAAUUGACUUUCUCCUAAAUAUAAACUUAAACCAACCUUGACCAUCUACUGGUAUUCAACGCAAAUGACCUAAUUAUAGUAAACCCACCCGCAAACUCUAUAACCUUAAGCGUUACCCUAACACUAGAAUAUUUUAGGAAAGAU